rnacentral:lncRNA from 1 species
AAUAGAAACAAUUUUAUUCCUUCUGUUUCAAUAUGGAGAGCUUUUAUUUCUUUUUCUUGUAUAAUUGCUCUGGCUACAAUUUCUAGUACAAUGUUGAAUAGCAGUGGUGAAAUAAUGAAUAUUAGUCAGGUUUGCCUGGAGAAACAGACCAAAUAAGGGAGAUUAUAUAUAUUCUGCUGUCCGCAAGUCGGAGACUCAAGAAAGUCAGUGGUAUAAUUCCAGUCUAAGUCCAAAAGCCUGAGAACAGGGAAGUUGAUGAUGUAAACCCUAGUCCAAAGGCAGAAGGAGAGUGAUGUCCUAGAUUAAGCAGGCACUAGGAAGGGAAUGGUUCCUCCCCUCCUCCACUCUUUGUUCUUUUCAGGCCUUAACAGAUUGGAUGAUGCCUCCUGGCAUUGGGAAGGGCAAUCUUCUUUCCUGAGUCCACUGAUGCAAAUGUUAAUCUCAUCUGGAAACACCCUUACAGACACAUCCAGAAAUGAUGUUUAAUCUGGGCACCCUGUGGUCUAGUUAAGUUAACACACACAAUUGACGAUCACGGUAGGCAUCUUUGUCUUGUUCCUGAUCGUAGGGGGAAAGCUAAUGGUCUUUUGCCAUUGUGAUGUUAGCUGUGGUUUUUUUCAUAGACUUCCUUUAUCAUAUUGAGAGAUUUUCCUUCUAUUCCUAGUUCUAUUACUAUUUUUAUCAUGAAAAAGUGCUGGCUUUUGUCAAAUGCUUUUUCUGCAUUGAUUGAGAUGUUCAUGUGGGAUUUUUUCCUUUAUGUUGAACAAAACAAAAUUCAACAUAAAUCCCACUUGGUCAUGAAGUAUAAUCCUUUUAUGUUGUUGGAUUUGAUUUGCUAGUAUUUUGCUAGUAUUUUUUUUGAGGAAUUUUGCAACUAUAUUCAUAAAGGAUAUUCUACAAUUUUCUUUUCAUAUGAUGUCUUUACAUACCUUUAAUAUCAGAGUAACACUGGCCACAUCGAAUGAGCUUGGAAGUCUUGCCUCCUCUUCAAUUUUUUGUAAGAGUUGGAGAAGGAUGGUUGUUAAUUCUUCUUUAAAAAUCCAUCAGUGAAGGCAUUUGGUCCUGAUUCUUGGGAAGUUUUUAAUGUUGAUUCAAUCUCACUUAUUAUUUUUUUUAGUUCAUCUAAAAUUACUUCCCUAAAUAAGCUAUUCAAUAGACCCACGGAACCAGGAAAGGAAAAUUAACACUUUGUGGCUGCAUUGUUUUCUCACCAUCUUGUUGGAUAUGAGAUGGGGAGCUUCUGGAACACGGUCCAUCUUUUCUCUAUUCAGCUUUCAUAUUAGAAGAAAUAACUCCUUAAUGUAUCCCCUUUGCCACGGAUGAAGCCACGAGCAUCCUAUAAAAGGAAACUCACCUUCAUGUACCAGAACCUCCAGGAAGUUUCAAUGCCCAAUAAGCAAGAGAGGGGCUGGCAUGCAGGAGGCCUGGCAGAGGCAGUUUAGGAGAACAGGUUCUCUGGAAUAAGAGCCAAGCAGAGGCCUCAUUGAUGAGUGGUAAAAAUUGAGGUGGGUUUUUGCGCAAGGCUACCUUGUCACCAAGCUCUAAUUCUGAAAACUGACCUCCAGUCUGUCUCCUGAUAAUCCCAACCCUUAGCACUGGCAUCUUGCCUUUGGAGCUCUCUCUGUUUCGCAUUUUUAGUUUCCUUACCCGUUUUUUAUUUAAUUCUUCCUAUAGCAGCAUGCCUGUGUUGCUGUGUCUUGCACACUUCCAUCACUGAUUCACACUACAAGUCUCUGUUUCAAAUUCUUCUGUGACCAGUCAGCUAACAUGUAAGGUGACUGCCUGCUCGCUAAAUUCGAGAGUUUGCUCAUCUCCAACUAUCUUUUGAUCUCUUUGACCUACCAGGUAUGACACUUGAAAUGGAUGCUGCCAAGCAGUGUGAUUAGUGAGACGGAUCUGUCUUACCCCAGAGGGAUGCAGGUGCUGGGGAUCUAUGCUCACUUUUCUAGAAAACGAGAAGAAACAACUACUCCAUUUGGAAACCUCAAGACUGUUUUUGAAGUUUGUGGACACACUUUGAGAGUCCACUGCAUGUCCAGAUGGUAUUCUCGAUGCAAGGACUCAGCUGUGUAGACCACAUGGAUCUUGGAACUUCACUGGGAUUGCUGCAGAAGGAAAAUAGGACCAAAGGGCCCAGCGCUGGCAAUGGAAAGCUUCAGCUUAGAAUCGACGUUCAUCAUUUCUUUUCACAACCUAUGGGACAGAACUGGUCACAUGGUCUUGGCUAACUACAAAUGGAGCAGGAACUGGCUGUGGUCAGCGCCAGAAGUUUCUACCACAGGUUUCUGACACAUGAUUGUUUUGAGGAGAAAGGUAAAGGAUGAAGUUUGGCAUUUUUCUUUCCUUUCCUAAAGAGCAACUUACUACAGUAAAGGGCACAAAUCUUGAUUGUACAGUGUGAUGAAGUUUUGCAAGUGUACAUACUCAUGUCACCAGCACCUAGAUCAAGAAAUAGAACACUCACAGCUCCUCAGAGGGCAGCCUGUGGUCUGCUCCCAGGCAAUUGUCCCCAAAUCUGUACUCUGACCUCUAACUCUAUAGGCCAGUUUUGCUUGGUUUUGUAUUUUACAUAAUGGAAUCCAUAGCCACGUGCCCUUUUGUGUGGAUGAAAAUUCAACAUUAUGCCUGUGAGAUUCACCCACGUUGUUGCAAAGAUUAGUAGUCUGUCCUUUGUUGCUGUGCGAUAUACCAUUGCCUUCUUAAAACGCCACCGUGUAAUUGAUCUUUCCAUUAUUUCAAGACAUUUGUGUUGUUUUCUGGUUGGGGCUAAAAAAACAAAGUUGCUGUGGGUUUGCUUAACUGUGAAUCUGGGGGACACGAGCAUGCAUUUCUGUGGAUUAUACACCAGGGGCGGAGUUGUUGGUUCAAACGAUCAGUGUUUGCCCUUAUUAGAUGCCUCCUCGUGGCCUAUGAAGUGGUUGUGCCAGUUUUGCUCCUGUCACCAGUGAGUGAGUUCCACUUGCUUCACAUUCUUAGCAACAUUUGAUGUUAUUUUAGUCACUCUGGUGGGUGUGAUGUGGUAUUUCAUUGUGACAUUAAUUUGCGUUUCCCUCGUGAGUUAUGAUAUUAAAUACCUUUUCAUGUGUGGAUUAACUAUCUAGAUAGUCCCUUUUGUGAAAUAUCUAGCCGACUCUUUUGCCAAUUUUUAAUUGAGUUAUCUGUCUUUUUCUUAUUGAUUUGUUUGAGUUCUUUACAUUUUCUGGUCAUGAGCCUUUUAUUGAAUAAAAGGCAACUUCUGUGAGUUUUUUCACUCUUAAUGGUAUCUUCUGAUGAAUAGAAGUUCAUUCUAAUGAAGUUCAAGUUUUUGACAUUUUCUUUUUUGUUUAGUCUUUGGUGGUAUUCUGGUGUUGUUAUAACUGGGCAAAUAUAAAUAACCAACGCCUCCUUGUUCAUUAUCCUUAGCCCCAGGGAACCCCCAAAGGGACUAGUAGCAAAUGGACCCCAAAUUUCCUUAUUCACACUGAGCCAGCGUCUAAUUGUCACCAUGUCAGGGUGUCUCUCUUGUUGGCAGAGAGGAAAUGGAAGCAAGAGAAG